rnacentral:lncRNA from 1 species
AAAAAACUACAUACUUAAAAGAAAGAAACUACAAGUAUUAUUUUAAUAAAGAAAUUACAUAUUUAAAAUAAAGAAACUACAUACUUAAAAGAAAGAAACUACAAGUAUUAUUUUAAUAAAAAAAUUACAUAUUUAAAAGAAAAAAACUACAAAAAAAACUAUAUUUAAAAGAAAGAAACUACAAAAAAAAACAAAAACUACAAGUAUUAUUUUAAUAAAGAAACUACAUACUUAAAAGAAAGAAACUACAAGUAUUAUUUUAAUAAAGAAACUACAAAAAAAAAAACUACAAGUAUUAUAAAAAGAAACUACAAAAAAAAAUUCAAAAUUUCGCUCCUGAUGGGUUUCGAACCCAGGACCUGGUGGAUUACAUAGUAGCGCCUGAACCAACUGAUCCAGGUGCCCUAUUAUUAUUUAUUUCAUUAAACGGUUAUAAUAUAGUAAAACCGUUGUAACCUUUUUU